GCAGGAGCGGCUCCUGGGAGGACAUUGGCAGGGAGCUGCGCCGGCGGCGGAGGUCAGAAGAGGGUCUGAAAACCAACGAGAGACAUGGCAGCGCACAGCAGCGUGUGGAUAUUGGCGGGAUUUUUUUCCGUUGUCCUUGUGGCAGCCGGUGACCCUGUCAGAAUUGAAGCGGAUGAAGGUGAAGACGUGCUCCUGCCCUGCAUUGUUGAACGUAGAGCCGCCGACCGUCGUCCAAACCCUACAGUGAACUGGCAGCGGUCAGGGAGUGAAGUCGUGAAAAGCUACUUCAAUGGCAAGAACCACCCGGUGUAUCAGU